AUUACAAAACUUGUUUUUUUUUUAGUACUUUAAAAAAAAAAAGGCUUUAACAAACAGCAGCAACCACCAAAGAAUGAAAUACUUCUCAUGUAUCUGCCUUGCUGUAAAUGACAAUGUCUCAUUAGCCUCUUCUCUUGCAGUGGCCUUAAAACAUGAUUUAAGAAUAAGUAUUUAAGUGGCCAUUCCCUAGAGAAGUAGAUACUUAAUCCUGGAGACCAGAACCUUACCAAUUUUGUCAGUCACAGGUAAAGGCCUGUUAAGUUGGUCACUGCCCAGGAACAAAUGCAAUAUGCCUCUAGGAUCUCCAGCCUCAUUUCCUCAAAGUCCAUCCACCUGAAUGCAUGAGCUACUUUUGUUACUUUUUGUUUAGUAUUGUUCACAAUUUCUUUACCUUUAGCAAAGUCAGAUUUUAUUGAUAACCACAGAGUUGUACUAGUAUUAAUCUAAUUAGGACCUUAUUUUAAAAAUAUUCUAAUCAGUGUGCCAUGUCAAGAACCUUUGCCUCUUUCCCUUCUUUCAAAUCACCUGUAAUCCUAGCAUCCAAAGGACCACUUAAAACAUUUUCGUGUAUUUCUUUCCAGUCUCUCCUACAUACAUACAUUAAAUAUACGAAAUAACAUUGGGAUCAUAAAAUAUCAUACAUGCACACCAACUCCCUAUAUCUUACUUUCCCACUCUUAAAUCUCAAGUACUUCCUAGUCAUUCAGAUUUCUCUGAAAACAUGUUAAUGGAUUCAUUGUAAUCAAAAGCUUGAGCUUUUAAUUCUAGUAGUGUGCAUCUACUGAAAAGGCUCAGGCUAUAAUGAUAAACUCAUCAGAAGGAAUAGAUGGAAUUUCUCACAAAUGUCAUUAAUUUAAAACUCCCUAAUAUCUUCUUUCCUUAAGUUUACUAAAAAAACAAGUCAUAUUUCAGAGAACACAGCAUACCUCCAUCACUAGCUGGUGAGCUCUAGACACCAACGUGAGGCCAUUGGCAUGAUUAAAUGUCUCAGAAAUAUCUUGCCCAAAGGUGUAACCAGCUCCUCGAGGAGAUAUACCCCAACCACCACGGUCAUCUGGAUCUGACCACAGCAAGUCACACAUUGGACCCUAAAAAAUAACUUCAAGUUAUAAAAUGCCUUUUACAAACAUGGUUAACACAUUAUUUGAGUAAUUCAUCAGAAGCAGCACCCUAAGCCACCCUUUUUGAGUGAUGUUUGUGGACAAUGCUAAUAGACUGUGCAGUUGAAGUCAAACAUCUGCAUCAAAUAAGAUGUAUUUUCCAGCAGACUUUAUGAGACACAGCUGACAUCCAUGGGACCCAGCAGCAACAUGCCCUAAUUAAUCUGCCUAUAUUAUGCAAAUUUCAGAGUCUAAGACAGACAACCCAGGUCCUAAUAAGCCCAGCUUCACAGCUGUUGUGAUCUUGGCAGGUUUCUUAAUGUCAGCUUCUUUUGAACAACAGGGCAGACAAGAGUGCUCACACCUCAAGUUGUUUUUGAGAAUUAUAUGAGAGAAUACAUCUAAUGAACUUACAAUUAAACUUCUCCACUCCCUAAUAAGUUUUCUGAAAGAAUUUUAUCAAAUAAAAGUCAUACCUCAUGGGGAACUUCUUGUAGGCGAUCAAGUGCUCUGAUAUGAUCCAGUGUAUCUAUAGAUGGCGAGAGACCACCAUGUAGACAGAAGAUCUGAAAAGAGUGGUUUAAAAGGUUAACCUCACCUAAAAAAUUUGUAAACAUUCUUGGCUGGGCACAGUGGCUCAUGCCUGUAACCCCAGCACUUUGGGAAGCUGAGGCAGGAGGGCUGCUUGAGGCCAGGAGUUUGAGACCAACCUGAGCAACACAGCAAGACCCUGUGUCUCUACAAAAAUUUUAAAAAAUGAGCUGGGCACCCCCAUCACUUGGCCCCUCUGGUGUUUCUGUGCUCUGCCUGAAUGAGACUUGACUUUGCAGGGUUCAUCUUUGCUCCAGCCCACUCUGAACUAUUGAGUACACUCCUGUUCUUCCUAAUAGACCAUCGCUGUCACAACCAGACUCCACUUCAAACAGCUCCUUUGAGAAAACUUCUUGGAUAUCACUCCUGCCCUUUGCCAGAGACUAGUAUCUUCAUACUCAUAAAAUUUUAUUGUAAGUUCUUUUGUGUGCACAUCUACCUAGGCCAAUAAUUAGCUCCUUACAUCUCCCAGACUUGUCCAAAAACAGUCUGAGAGGGUAAAUGGGCUACAUCACCCACCCCUGUGAUCCCACCAUACAGUUCAGUGCCUGAUAUAAAGAAUAAUGCACUUAAAAAAGUUGGACACAUUUGUCAAAUUAAAUUUUUUUUAAGUUUGAAUGAAUGCUAUCAAUAUCUAUUAAAAAAUAUCCCCAAAGGGGUGUUAAGAGUGGAAAGAGUCAUAAGCACCUGAACACUAAAGAAAGCAGAUUCUCUGAAAUAAUCAGCAAUGAGUUUUAGAUCCACAUACCUGCCCAUCCACCAAGGCAGUGAGAGGAAGAUAGUCAAAAAG
rnacentral:lncRNA from 1 species